rnacentral:rRNA from 1 species
UACGUAGGGGGCAAGCGUUGUCCGGAAUUAUUGGGCGUAAAGCGCGUGUAGGCGGCUUGGUAAGUCUGGUGUGAAAACUUGGGGCUUAACCCCAAGCCUGCACUGGAUACUGCCUGGCUAGAGUCCGGGAGGGGAGAGCGGAAUUCCCAGUGUAGCGGUGAAAUGCGCAGAUAUUGGGAAGAACACCGGUGGCGAAGGCGGCUCUCUGGAACGGUACUGACGCUGAGACGCGAAAGCGUGGGGAGCGAAC